GACGAACGCUGGCGGCGUGCCUAAUACAUGCAAGUCGAACGCAGUGGGGACGGGUGAGUAACACGUGGGUAACCUCCCAUCAGAGGGGAUAACACUUGGAAACAGGUGCUAAACCGAUAUUGAUGUCUGGACCCGCGGUGCAGUAGCUAGUUGGUGAGGUAACGGCUCACCAAGGACACGAUGCAUAGCCGACGUGAGAGGGUGAUCGGACACACUGGGACUGAGACACGGCCCAGACUCCUACGGGAGGCAGCAGUAGGGAAUCUUCGGCAAUGGACGAAAGUCUGACCGAGCAACGCCGCGUGAGUGAAGAAGGUUUUCGGAUCGUAAAACUAUGUUAAUCGGGACGCGGUACCGGAAUAGAAAGCCACGGCUAACUACGUGCCAGCCGCCGCGGUAAUAC
rnacentral:rRNA from 1 species